rnacentral:misc_RNA from 1 species
ACUGCAUAUAUAUUUACAGCAGAUCAUGGAAUGAGUGACAAAGGGAGUCAUGGAGACGGACACCCAACAAACACGGACACACCUCUUGUGGCAUGGGGAGCAGGUGUCGGAAAACCCUUGCCAAUUUCCCGCAGUGACCGUCACGAGAAUACUGCUUGUUUUAUUGAUGACCAUCUGCAUGAUACAGAAACACCUUCAGAAUGGGGCCUCAGUGGCAUGACGAGGUUGGAUGUUAAUCAAGCUGACAUAGCACCACUGAUGUCCACUCUUCUUGGUCUGCCAUGUCCUAUCAACUCAGUUGGCAAUCUGCCUCUUCAGUACAUGAAUCUGAACAAGGCAGAAGAAGUUGAAGCUGUGCUGGCCAAUACGAAGCAAAUCCUCAAUCAGUUCCUUCGAAAGUCACAGUUAAAGCAGUCGACCUCAUUAUACAUCAAGCCUUUCAAGCCCUUGGCUAGUUAUUCAUCACUAUUGCGUGAAAUUGAGCAACUGAUUUCUCUCAAAGAGUAUGAAACUGCAGUGAAAUUAUCUGAACAUCUUAGGAGCUUGGCACUUCAAGGACUUCACUAUUUCCAGACAUAUGAUUGGCUGAUGCUGAUG